rnacentral:rRNA from 1 species
AGCACUUUAUACUGUGAAACUGCGACUGGGCUCUUUAAAUCAGUUAUCGUUUAUUUGAUAGUACCUUACUACAUGGAUACCUGUGGUAAUUCUAGAGCUAAUACAUGCUAAAAACCCCGACUUCAGGAAGGGGUGUAUUUAUUAGAUAAAAAACCAACGCCCUUCGGGGCUCCUUGGUGAAUCAUAAUAACUUAACGAAUCGCAUGGCCUUGCGCCGGCGAUGGUUCAUUCAAAUUUCUGCCCUAUCAACUUUCGAUGGUAGGAUAGUGGCCUACCAUGGUGGCAACGGGUAACGGGGAAUUAGGGUUCGAUUCCGGAGAGGGAGCCUGAGAAACGGCUACCACAUCCAAGGAAGGCAGCAGGCGCGCAAAUUACCCAAUCCCGAUACGGGGAGGUAGUGACAAUAAAUACUGAUACGGGGCUCUUUUGGGUCUCGUAAUUGGAAUGAGAACAAUUUAAAUCCCUUAACGAGGAACAAUUGGAGGGCAAGUCUGGUGCCAGCAGCCGCGGUAAUUCCAGCUCCAAUAGCGUAUAUUAAAGUUGUUGCAGUUAAAAAGCUCGUAGUUGAACCUUGGGUCUGGCUGGCCGGUCCGCCUCACCGCGAGUACUGGUCCGGCUGGACCUUUCCUUCUGGGGAACCCCAUGGCCUUCACUGGCUGUGGGGGGAACCANGACUUUUACUGUGAAAAAAUUANAGUGNUCAAAGCANNCCUUUGCUCGAAUACAUUANCAU